ensembl:snRNA U6 U6 spliceosomal RNA
GUGUUCACUUCAUCAUCAUAUACACUAAAUGGCAAUAAUACAGAGAUUAGCAUCAUCCUUGUAAGAAUGAUAUGCAAAUUCAUGAAGUAUUCCAGUUUUUA